rnacentral:rRNA from 1 species
GACGAACGCUGGCGGCGUGCUUAACACAUGCAAGUCGAACGGAAAGGCCCUGCUUGCAGGGUACUCGAGUGGCGAACGGGUGAGUAACACGUGGGUGACCUGCCCUGCACUUCGGGAUAAGCUUGGGAAACUGGGUCUAAUACCGGAUAGGAGCCAUCUUUAGUGUGGUGGUUGGAAAGUUUUUUCGGUGUAGGAUGAGCUCGCGGCCUAUCAGCUUGUUGGUGGGGUAAUGGCCUACCAAGGCGGCGACGGGUAGCCGGCCUGAGAGGGUGUACGGCCACAUUGGGACUGAGAUACGGCCCAGACUCCUACGGGAGGCAGCAGUGGGGAAUAUUGCACAAUGGGCGCAAGCCUGAUGCAGCGACGCCGCGUGGGGGAUGAAGGCCUUCGGGUUGUAAACUCCUUUCGCUAGGGACGAAGCUUUUUUGUGACGGUACCUAGAUAAGAAGCACCGGCUAACUACGUG